GACGAACGCUGGCUGCGUGCUUAACACAUGCAAGUCGAACGCUGAAGCCUGGUGCUUGCACCGGGUGGAUGAGUGGCGAACGGGUGAGUAACACGUGAGUAACCUGCCCCUGACUUCGGGAUAAGCCCGGGAAACUGGGUCUAAUACCGGAUACGACUGCCGGACGCAUGUCUGGUGGUGGAAAGUUUUUUCGGUUGGGGAUGGGCUCGCGGCCUAUCAGUUUGUUGGUGAGGUAAUGGCUCACCAAGACGACGACGGGUAGCCGGCCUGAGAGGGCGACCGGCCACACUGGGACUGAGACACGGCCCAGACUCCUACGGGAGGCAGCAGUGGGGAAUAUUGCACAAUGGGGGAAACCCUGAUGCAGCGACGCAGCGUGCGGGAUGACGGCCUUCGGGUUGUAAACCGCUUUCAGCAGGGAAGAAGCGCAAGUGACGGUACCUGCAGAAGAAGUACCGGCUAACUACGUGCCAGCCGCCGCCGUAACAC
rnacentral:rRNA from 1 species